rnacentral:tRNA from 5 species
GGUCCCAUAGCUCAGCAGGAUAGAGCACCAGAUUCCUAAUCUGGGGGUCGUUGGUUCGAAUCCAACUGGGAUCACCA